AGUGAAUAAUCAUAUUGUUUGUUUUGAUGCUUUUGAGUGCUUUUGACACAAUUGCUUUUUGGGGGUUUGGCAGUUAUUUUUCUCUCAUGAUUUUUCAACAGGUUAUAGGUAUGUCUGAGUGUGUGUUUGUGUGUGUGUCUGUAUGUUUGGUAUGUGUGUGUGUGUGUUUGGUAUGUAGUCUGUCUGUUGCCUUCUGGGUGGUCUAUGAAUCUGUGUAGUUUCUCCUGGUCCAUCACACACACACACACACACUCAAACACACACUCACACACACACACACAAACACACACACACACAAACACACACUCAAACACACACACACACAAACACACACUCAAACACACACUCAAACACACACUCAAACACACACACACACACAAACACACACUCAGACACACACUCAAACACACACUCAGACACACACACAAACACACACACACUCAGACACACACUCAGACACACACUCAGACACACACACGAACACACACACACACACACACACACACACACACUCAGACACAAACACACACUCAGACACACACACAAACACACACACUCAAACACACACUCAGACACACACACACACACACACACACACAGACACACACACACUCAAACACACACUCAGACACACACACACACACACACACACUCAGACACACACACACUCAGACACACACACACACACACACACACACACAUUUAGAGAGCACACACACACACACACACACACACACACACACACACACACACACAUUUAGAGAGCACACACACACACACACACACACACAUACACACCCCCACAUUCAGAGAGAGCACACACACACACACACAGACACACACACACACACACACACACACACACACAUUCAGAGAGAGCACACACACACACAUUCAGAGAGAGCACACACACACACAAAUUCAGAGAGAGCACACACACACACACAUUCAGAGAGCACACACACACACACACACAUUCAGAGAGCACACACACACAUUCAGAGAGCACACACAGACACACACACACACACAGACACACACACACACACAUCAUAUAUAUAAACUGAUUACAAAAACAAA
rnacentral:lncRNA from 1 species